UGAAUCUCCAGUUAUUUCAAGUCCUGGGCCAAGCUGAAGAUAAUGCCUGUGCUGUGAUAACAAAGAAGGGUGUGUUUUCUGAAAAGUGUUGCAAUCAGAGUUACUGGAUUUGUCAACGCGUGCUUUCUGCAGAAACUGACCUCUAAACUGAUCCCAGUUUAUCCUUCCUGUAAAAACCAUUCACAAGGACUUUUUAAUUUAUGUAUUUUGUUGAAACACAUUAUUUUUACAACAAAUAUGGUGAUAAUGAUGAUAAUGGUGUUGAUUUGUGUCACUCUCAAUUCGGGCAAUCAGCCUCAACUCAUCGCCCUAGCUCUACCCGGUCACUGGUGCUAUAUUUCCACAGUUAUCUCCUGUGCAUUAUGGUGGCUAUUUUAGACACAGCUGUCCCUUUGUCUACUCAAUAAUUCUGUCCCAGGGGCACCUGGGCAGCUCAGUCUGUUAAGCUUCCGGGUCAUGGCAUUGAGCUCUGUUCUGGUGGAGGGAGGAGUCAGCUUGGGAUUCUUUCUUUCUCCCUCUUCCUCUGCCCCUCCUCCCACUCUAAAAAGUCGAUUAAUUAAUUAAUUAGUUAAUUAAUUAAUUAAAAAAAUUCCCUACACUUCUCAUUCACCAUUAGCAAAGGAGUUUUUCUUUUUUUUAAAGAAGCCAUCAGAUAGAUGAUAUAUUUAUUAUUCAUUGACUUUCUACUACUGAGUUUACACAAUUGUCUGCAUCUUAUUUCUUUUUCCUCACUCCCUAUUUCCAGACAGGGUAUCCCUCUGUCUGUCUAAAUAAAAUUUCUAAGUGCUACAUUUGGGAUUGCCUCUCUUUUCAUUUUUUUCUAGGACAGUCCCUCCUCUAUCAUCUCCGUUCUGGUCCCUCUUUUCUUCUAUCUCCUUUUCUUUCAGCAACAAAACAUGCAAGAGCACAAGAAAAUUUUCCCCGAACCACAUGUGGCUUCCAGUUUCUGCCCAGUUUCUCCCACCUCUUUUAAGUCAAACCUCCUAGAAAUUGUUUCUACUUGUACUUUCUUCUUUUCACCUCCUACUCCAGGUUCUUCUAAAAUCUGGUUUCUGCUUUUCCUAUUUCACUGUUCUCACAACGUCAUAAAUGCCUUUCCUCUGGCGAAACACAAUGAAGAUAUUCUAGGUUUCAUUUUAACUCUCAGCAGUGUUGCUCAUUAUCGACCUGUUCUUUCCUCUAGAAAUAUUCUCUAACCUCAGCAUCUAUGACACAAUGCUCUCUUGAACCUGUAUCUACGUUGCCUGCCGUUGUUCCUCAGUUUUUUCUGAAGGAUCUCUUCUCUCUUCUGAUCUCUUCAGUACUGACAUUCCUCAGAGUUUUAAGUGAAUUCUCAAUCAUACACAAUUCUUGGCUAAACUCACCUACACUGUAAGUUCUAUUGUCAUCAAUUUAUUAGUAACUCCCAAACCCAUAUUUCUAACCCAGAACUUAUUAUAGGUUUUGGCCACUGUACAUCUCUAACUGGACACCUCAAAGCCCCUUAGCUUUCACAUGUUAAAAUGAAACUCAUUAGCUUAGUGAAUGACAGCAAUGCGCCCAUUAGUCCAACCAGAGUCCCUGGAGUCAACCAUGACUUCUUUCUUUUCACCCAUGAUACUCAAACUCUCAUUUCAACCUGUCAAAUUUACCACAUAAUUAUUUCUGAAUUCAUCUACGUAUCUGCAGACCGAUCCUGUGGUCAUGGAUUCCCUCAACACUUGUUUGUCUGUUUCUAGCUUUGCCUGCCAAAGUCCAUUCUCCAUAUCAUGACCACAGUGAUUGUCUAAAUCUGAUAUCAUGCCACAUUAUUCACUACAUAUUUCUGUGUAGGGGUUUUUCCUUGCUUAAAUCUUUGACCAUCUCUGACCAGACCCUUUGUGUCUUGGUUCCUCUUCAUUCUUCCCCCCACCACCAUGAUUGUAAUGAUGCAGAUAACCUAAACUUUAUUCAUUUUCUCAAAUGUGUCAUGCUUUCUCUUGCCUCAUAUCUAAUUGUAUGUUUGGCUUGGCUUGAUAUUCUUCCCUUUCAUUUCUCCUAUUUAACUCUUGCUUAUGUUUGAGAAGGCUAGUUAAAUGCAUUUGGUGGAAAAUAUUUCCUUAACCAUUCUCCACUCCAGACUAAAUUAUAUGCAUUUGAUGUAUAUUCUCAUAGUUUCCUGUACAUAUCUUAACAUUUAAUACCCUAUUUUUUGACCAUUGUUUAAUUAUUUGUAUUUAUUAACAUACUGUAAGCUCUGGAAGGACAUGAUCCUCAUUACUGUAUGGGAGAGACAAGGUGCCUGAUGCAUGAUGGAUGAUAAAUAAGUACUUGUUCUGCUUUUGAGAUUAUUUGUAACAUUUUAUUGUUUCCCCAGCACAACUUCCUAUUUGUACAAAGCUUCCCUUAGCCUUGAUGAUCAUUAUCUGCCUACUCUUUUUUGUUUUGUUUUUUUUCAAUAAAGGUCAGUGUUAGGUAUACAUGAGCUAAUAAAUGACGUUUUCCAGGUU